CUGUUUCAUUUUCGAGUUUCCUUAAGCGGCGUCUGUUUAUUCCCUCAUUGUGGUCGCUCUGGUAAGUGUAGUUCUAUGUGUAUCAAUUCACGAUAUGAUUUAAAUUAAGUUUAUUCACAAUAUGCGCUUUUGUACAACAUAGGUGGCUGCAAGUUAGUCAGUUAAAUUUUCCCGCCUGGUCUUAUUGUUGCCUCAGGUCAGACGUCGCCUAUUUUUUUCUGCCUGACAGUGUAAGUUAAUCUCUCCGGUAGGUGCUGUUCUCUAUGUAAUAUUUACCAUAAGAGUUGAAAUAUGUUUGUUCAAAACAUGUGCUUUUGUACGCCAUUUUAGAGUUGCCUCAGGCGGCACCCAGUUAACGUUGGUCCGUCAUUGUUAUCACUCCGGUAAGCGGUGGUUCUUUGUGUAUCAAUUUAAGCCAUGAUUUAAAUGAAAUUUGUUCACAAUAUGCCCAUUUUUACAACGGUGUAGGUGGCGGUAAGUUAGUCAUUUCAGUUUUCCUGCUUCAUCUUCGAGUUGCCUGAGAAGGGUCAGACGAGCGCAAGGUUUUUUUUUCUCGACAGUGCAAUCGCUCUGGCAGCUGCUUAGGUGGCUCCAAACUGGUCAGUUCAACCUCUCCUUCUUCGUCUUCGAGAAGUCUUAAAGUCAAUCGGUGGCUUUUUUUCCCGACAGUAUCAUGACUUAGGGUGAUGCAGUGCAAGAUAUCCAGAUUUGAACACCCUGCCCAGGAGGUCCUUUUGAAACAUGACCAAUUGUGCCACUACCAGGGAAGAUACUGCCAACUACCCUGCCUCUACACAGAUUGCAUCUGCUCCUUUAAAACCACUGGUUGAAGUCUCACCUUUUAAGAUCACACAAGUGCUUAUCUUCACGUGAGAGUCACUUAACAUUGAAUGGUGAAUUGUGUGACUUUAAGGAAAUUUGUAAAACACCUUAUUACUCUAAACAUAGCCAUUUAAAAAAAACAUGAAACUUUAAGGUGCCCUUUUAGCCAGUGUGGUUUUUAAAACACAUCUGAUUUCAUCAUCCAGUGGUCACAGAAGUCAAAAACAUUGCAGCUUUUCCAUUACAGACUUUAAAGUAAAUAUCAUUAUUCAAAAUGCAGAACCAAAAGACAUUGAGCC